GAUGAACGCUGGCGGCGUGCUUAACACAUGCAAGUCGAGCGAAGCAUUUUAAAGGAAGUUUUCGGAUGGAAUUUAAAAUGACUUAGCGGCGGACGGGUGAGUAACGCGUGGGUAACCUGCCUCAUACAGGGGGAUAACAGUUAGAAAUGACUGCUAAUACCGCAUAAGCGCACAGUGCUGCAUAGCACAGUGUGAAAAACUCCGGUGGUAUGAGAUGGACCCGCGUCUGAUUAGGUAGUUGGUGAGGUAACGGCCCACCAAGCCGACGAUCAGUAGCCGACCUGAGAGGGUGACCGGCCACAUUGGGACUGAGACACGGCCCAAACUCCUACGGGAGGCAGCAGUGGGGAAUAUUGGACAAUGGGGGAAACCCUGAUCCAGCGACGCCGCGUGAGUGAAGAAGUAUUUCGGUAUGUAAAGCUCUAUCAGCAGGGAAGAAAAUGACGGUACCUGACUAAGAAGCCCCGGCUAACUACGUGCCAGCAGCCGCAGUAA
rnacentral:rRNA from 1 species